rnacentral:lncRNA from 1 species
AUGCUGAGCCCCCUCACCAGCCAGAGCCUUCCCACCCCAUGCCAUCCCAUCCCAUAUCCCAUAUCCCAUAUUCCAUAUCCCAUAUCCCAUAUCCCAUAUCCCAUAUCCCAUAUCCCAUAUCCCAUCCCAUUAUCCCAUUGCAUAGAUUCCAUUCCAUGGAUCCCAUCCCAUCCCCAUUAUCCCAUCCAAUGGAUCCCAUCCCAUCCCCAUUAUCCUAUCCAGUGGAUCCCAUCCCAUCCCAUGGAUCCCAUUCCAUAUCCCAUAUCCCAUCCCAUUAUUCCAUCCCAUAGAUCCCAUCCCAUGGAUCCCAUCCCAUCCAAUGGAUCCCAUCCCCAUUAUCCCAUCCAGUGGAUCCCAUCCCAUCCCAUCCCAUCCCAUCCCAUCCCAUCCUAUCCCAUCCCAUCCCAUGGAUCCCAUCCCAUCCCAUCCCAUUAUCCCGCUAUCCUAUUAUCCCAUUAUCCCGCUAUCCCAUUCCAUCCCCUCUCUCCCCGGUCCCGCAGCCCUGGCUGUGCUCAGGGGGAGCAGAGCAGAUCCGAUUCCUCCCGGGGCCCUUCCCCGGCAGUCGCUGUCGCUGUCGCAGGUUGCGGUGCCCCUGCCGGAGCGGGAUCAAUUGGUACCGACCAUUCCCCGAGCAUCCCCUCCUCUGGCAGCCACAGCCUGCCGGCGCUGCUCUGGAUACAAAGCAGCCACGCUCUGCCUCCUUCCUCCCGCAUCCCGCUGGCCUCCUCCUCCUCUUCCUCCUCCUCCUCCUCCUCCUCCUCCUCCCUGUUUGCUCGCUCUCUUUCUCCCCCGAACGCCAGGCUGCAGAAGGCAGAGCUGCGAGCCGGAGCACAGCGAGGAGCUCCCCGAGGCUGCUCUGGCCGAGCGAAACGCGGGCAGGGAUGCGAUGAAGCAGCGCCGUGCUCGCUGCCUGGAUUAAGAAAGAAAGCUUUUUUUUUUAAAAAAAAACCCCUUAAACAAAGCCAGAAAAGCACCACAAAGCCGGACGCAACAAACGAGGCGGAAAGGGGGGAGAGAAGGAGGCGGAGGUUGCUGGAUGGGCGAGGAGCCGCUUUGAAUCGUGCCUCUGUUCGCAGGGAUUAG